rnacentral:lncRNA from 1 species
UCAUUCAAACAAGAUUCAAAACCGCAAUCAUUCAAACAAGAUUCAAAACCGCAAUCAUUCAAACAAGAUUCACAACCGCAAUCAUUCAAACAAGAUUCACAAACUUCUAGCAACUCUUCUGACAGUAGUUGCAAUUGUUUCCAAGUUAAAGAAGCAUCUAAAGUGUCUUCCAAGUCAAGUUCCAAUUGUUGCAAUUGGUUCCAUUGCUUUUCUUGUCCUUCUUGUACAUCAUGCAAGCCUUCUUGUUCUGGGUGCAAAUGUUGCUGCUAAGGAAGUGAGUUUUACUACAAAAUUUUUAGAUGCCUCAUUUGUUAAUAGUUACUUCUUUAAGUACUUAGGUUUGAACAGAUGCAAAUGGACAUAACUUGUAUAAACCUUAUAACUUCAUAUGAGGGCUAGACACAUGAUAUUUACCAGUCAUGUGACUAUGCUCUAAAACCUUUAACACCUUGUAAAUUCUGCAACUAGUUGUGCUAGUUUUAUCCAACCAACCUUUUCAUAAUUGUACACAAAUUCAAUUAUUGAUGGACAUUAGAA